AACAAAGUUGUGAAACGUCUGGGGGUCCCUGAGGAGAGGUUUGAAAACCACUGCUUUAACCUACUGCUCUAUCAUUGCCAUGCCUCCAUGUAUGUUUGGUCCAGGCAGGAAGACAACGGAUGCAGUCCAAACACACCCUAUCCCCUCAGCCCUCAAAUAAAGUGGGCUGAGGGGAUAGGGAUGGCCCGGGAAUUUGUCACUCGUUCAUCCCGUGAUGUUUGUGUUUUCAGCCACCGGUAGCUUGUGGUUAAUAUAAUAUAAUAAUAAUAUGUAUUGUGGUUGCUUUAUAUGCGCUACAGUCAAUUAUAAUUGCAUGCCUACUUACAUUAAAUAUAUAAUUAUUAAUAUACGCCUACUGUAUAAUAACUAGCAAAUUAAUUAGUUAAAUAACGUUACCCUGCCUAGCUGGAAACAAUUUUUAUUUAUACAAUUUCCAAAAGCUAACCAAACAAACAUAAUUACUUUUAUGAGACGUGUUUGUGCCGUCAUGUGCAUUAGUAGCACAAGUUCUAACUUAUUUACAUUAGUUUUUACUUAUGUUGACUCCAUAUAUUCAUGUUUUAGGUUUAAAUUUUUGGCUGACUUUUCUUAGCAGAUGUGCAAUCGUCACAAAUUGAAUUAUGGGGAGUUUCAGGCCCCGAAGUGAACAUGAUUGUACACUCGGCAAACUCAACUAAAAUCGAGGGCUGAGGGGCUUAUGUUGCAAAUAUCCCAUAUCCCUUGCUUGGCUAAUCAUUUGGCCCGCCCUCAAAGAGAACACACUGCUAUACCAUUAGAGUGGUGUGAAUGGGUUUAUCUGAAUUUUCCCUACAUUUCCCCCCAAUUCAGCCAGCCCCCUAACAAUUUGAAUUCAACCAAUGAGCUUCAGCCCCUCAAGAGGCACCACAUGCACACACAGCGAGAGAGAGUGCAAUGCAGUUGUGGACCACUUUUGGCUUGUGAGCACUACUUUCAGAACUACUGGAUAAAAAGUAUGCACAAGUACUGGAGAAUCUCUUUAAUUCUAUACUGUGGUGCCACAUUCUCAAUAUACUUGAUUUGUCCUCAGUUUGUGCUCUUUUGUGACACACACGCAAACACUGACCUCAAUUUUGUUCCAUUUAAAUCAUUUGAUUGCCAAUAAAUAGUUGUACUGUCAAUAUAGGCUAAUAAUGAAACAAGUGGCGAUUUAAGUAAAAAUAAAUCCAAUCUAAUAGAAGUGAACCUACCUGAACCACACACAAAUGGGAACGUUAACUUCAAACUUCUACAGUAGUGAAUGAAAUGCACUGUAGACUGCUAGACUAAUUACAUAGCAUAUCCCUCACUCACACCAAACUACACUGAGUGUACAGAACAUUAGGAACAGUAUUGAGUUGCACCUGCUUUUGCCCUCAGAACAGCCUCAAUUUGUCAGGGCAUGGACUCCACAAGGUGUCAACAGCUGUCUACAGGGAUGCUGGCCCAUGUUGACUCCAAUGCUUCCCACAGUUCUGUCAAGUUGGCUGGAUGUCUUUCGGGUGGUGGACAAUUUGUGAUACACAUGCGAAACUGUUGAAUGUGAAAACCCCAGCAGCGUGACACACUUAAACCGGUGCGCCUGACACCUACUACCAUACCUGUUCAAAGGCACUUAAAUCUUUUAUCUUGCCCAUUCACCCUCUGAAUGGCACACAUACACAAUCCAUGUCUCAAUUGUCUUAAGGCUUAGAAAUCCUUCUUUAACCUGCCUCCUCCCCUUCAUCUACACGGAGUGAAGUGGAUUUAACGAGUUACAUUAAUAAGGGAUCAUACAGCGCCUUCAGAAUGUAUUCACACCCCUUUUUCCACAUUUUGUUGUGUUACAGGCUGCAUUUUACAUUGAUUUAAUCACUGGCCUACACACAAUACCCCAUAAUGUCAAAGUGGAAUUAUGUUUUUAGAAAGUUUUACAAAUUAAUAAAAAUGAAAAGGUGAAAUGUCUUUAGUCAAUAAGUAUUCAACCCUGUUGCUAUGGCAAGCCUAAAUAAGAUCUGGAGUAAACAUUUGCUUAAAAAUCCACAUAAUACAUUGUAUGGAAUCAUUCUGUGUGCAAUAAUAGUGUUUUAACAUAAUUGUUAUUUAUUUUUAUACUUAAACAGAGUUUAAUGGCGCUGACAGGAUAAACUGAGGCUGGAUCAACAACAUUGCAGUUAUAUCCUGCUCAUGCAAGGCACCAAAGAGUGGUUUCCAUUUGGCCACACUCCUAUAAAGCCCAGAUUGGUGAAGUGCUGCAGAGACUGUUGUCCUUCUGGCAGGU